UACGGAGGGUGCAAGCGUUAUCCGGAUUCACUGGGUUUAAAGGGUGCGUAGGCGGGCAGUUAAGUCAGUGGUGAAAUCCUUGAGCUCAACUCGAGAACUGCCAUUGAUACUAUCUGUCUUGAAUAUUGUGGAGGUAAGCGGAAUAUGUCAUGUAGCGGUGAAAUGCUUAGAUAUGACAUAGAACACCUAUUGCGAAGGCAGCUUACUACGCAUAUAUUGACUCUGAGGCACGAAAGCGUGGGGAUCAAACAGG
rnacentral:rRNA from 1 species